AGAGUUUGAUCCUGGCUCAGGAUGAACGCUGGCGGCGUGCCUAACACAUGCAAGUCGAGCGAUUUACUUCGGUAAAGAGCGGCGGACGGGUGAGUAACGCGUGGGUAACCUGCCCUGUACACACGGAUAACAUACCGAAAGGUAUGCUAAUACGAGAUAAUAUGCUUUUAUCGCAUGGUAGAAGUAUCAAAGCUUUUGCGGUACAGGAUGGACCCGCGUCUGAUUAGCUAGUUGGUAAGGUAACGGCUUACCAAGGCGACGAUCAGUAGCCGACCUGAGAGGGUGAUCGGCCACAUUGGAACUGAGACACGGUCCAAGCUCCUACGGGAGGCAGCAGUGGGGAAUAUUGCACAAUGGGCGAAAGCCUGAUGCAGCAACGCCGCGUGAGCGAUGAAGGCCUUCGGGUCGUAAAGCUCUGUCCUCAAGGAAGAUAAUGACGGUACUUGAGGAGGAAGCCCCGG
rnacentral:rRNA from 1 species